rnacentral:tRNA from 1 species
GGGGUUGUGGCUCAGUGGUAGAGCGCUCGCCUAGCAUGUGUGAGGCACUGGGUUUGAUUCUCAGCAUCACAU